rnacentral:rRNA from 1 species
GUGGGGAAUCUUGCGCAAUGGGCGAAAGCCUGACGCAGCCAUGCCGCGUGAAUGAUGAAGGUCUUAGGAUUGUAAAAUUCUUUCACCGGGGACGAUAAUGACGGUACCCGGAGAAGAAGCUCCGGCUAACUUCGUGCCAGCAGCCGCGGUAAUACGAAGGGGGCUAGCGUUGCUCGGAAUUACUGGGCGUAAAGGGCGCGUAGGCGGACAGCUUAGUCAGAGGUGAAAGCCCAGGGCUCAACCUUGGAAUUGCCUUUGAUACUGGCUGUCUUGAGUUUGGGAGAGGUGAGUGGAACUCCGAGUGUAGAGGUGAAAUUCGUAGAUAUUCGGAAGAACACCAGUGGCGAAGGCGACUCACUGGCCCAAUACUGACGCGGAGGCGCGAAAGCGUGGGGAGCAAACAGGAUUAGAAACCCCAGUAGUCC